rnacentral:rRNA from 1 species
CCUACGGGAGGCAGCAGUAGGGAAUUUUCCGCAAUGGGCGAAAGCCUGCCGGAGCAAUACCGCGUGAGGGAUGACGGCCUGUGGGUUGUAAACCUCUUUUCUCAAGGAAGAAGUUCUGACGGUACUUGAGGAAUAAGCAUCGGCUAACUCUGUGCCAGCAGCCGCGGUAAUACAGAGGAUGCAAGCGUUAUCCGGAAUCACUGGGCAUAAAGCGUCUGUAGGUUGUUUAGUAAGUCUGCUGUUAAAGACUGGGGCUUAACCCCAGAAAAGCAGUGGAAACUGCUAGACUCGAGUGUGGUAGAGGUAGAGGGAAUUCCUAGUGUAGCGGUGAAAUGCGUAGAUAUUAGGAAGAACACCAAUGGCGAAGGCACUCUACUGGGCCAUAACUGACACUGAGAGACGACAGCUAGGGGAGCAAACGGGAUUAGAUACCCCGGUAGUCCUAGCCGUAAACGAUGGAUACUAGAUGUUGCACGUAUUAACCCGUGCAGUAUCGUAGCUAAGGCGUUAAGUAUCCCGCCUGGGAGUACGNUCGCAAGNGNGAACUGAAAGGUAUGACGNUGAGAGUGCGAGGCGACGACGAGGAGAGG